CCCUUAGAUGUUCGGGGCCGCACGCGCGCUACACUGGUCGAUGCAACGAGUUUCUUUCCUUGGCCGACAGGCCUGGGCAAUCUUUGAACAUCGAUCGUGAUCGGGAUAGAUUCUUGUAAUUUUUGAUCUUAAACGAGGAAUUCCUAGUAAACGCAAGUCAUCAGCUUGCAUUGAUUACGUCCCUGCCCUUUGUACACACCGCCCGUCGCACCUACCGAUUGAAUGGUCCGGUGAAAUCUCCGGACUGGCGUGAGUCGGAGCAAUCUGACAAACACCGGAAAGUUGAUUAAACCUUACCAUUUAGAGGAAGGUGAAGUCGUAACA
rnacentral:rRNA from 1 species